ACUAUGUGAUGAGGUUUCAUAAAAAUCUCAAUAGACUAGACCUUGCCUGCCAAUGAACACAUCUGCAGAGGAGCCACCUGGAGGGACAAAUACACAAGGACUUGUCAGCUAUCCACCUGCCAGACUACUUCUCUUAAAGGCCCUGUGGGAAGCCCUCACAUACCACCCAGAAGAGAACCUGCUGAGUUCUGUGUGGCAGAAAGCAGGCAGGUAAGGGGACAGAGGGCUUCCCUGGUGGCUCAGACAGUAAAGCUUCUGCCUGCAAUCCCUGACCCUCUCCUGGCCAUCCCCCUCAUCAAACCAGAUAGCCCUGUUCCAC
ensembl:lncRNA